GGAUGGUUUGCUUAAGGAAAUAAGAAGCAAGGACCAAGCAGCCGCCUCUGUACUGGAACAGGCGGAUUUACGCAGUGACUCAGAUCUCCAGUCACUGACUUUACAAGACCUGGGUUUGCUGUUCCCUGGAGUUAAAAAUGUCAAACUGAGAAGGGAUAUCUUUGAUAUAAUACACAAGCAGAAAUCAAUUGGUGAGCUCAUAGAAAAAUCCAAGCACUUCAUCCCACAUGACUCUCUCAGGGCUGCCUUAACUGAAAAUGGAGUUUUGGUCGACUACCUGAAAAUGUUGAAGGAAAUGAAGACCCAAAUGAAUAAAGAUUUCCUUGAUCCGCAUAUCAAUCUACUGGAGGACUUCAGGAAAUCUCAACCAUCGCAGGACCAGGACAAAGGUGAAAUCAUGGAUAUUUUGCUUAAGGAAAUAAGACGCAAGGAUGAAGUGGCAGCCAAUAAACUGGAAGAGGAAGGUUUGAGAGCUGACUCAGAUCUCCAGUUACUGACUUUACAAGACCUGGGUUUGCUGUUACCUGGAGUUGAAAAUGUCAAACGGAUAAGGGAAAUCUUUGAUAUAAUACACAAGCAGAAACCAAUUGGUGUGCUCAUAGAAAAAUUCAAGGACUUCAUCCCACAUGAAUCUUUCAGGGCUGCCUUAACUGAAAAUGGAGUUUUGGUUGACUACCUGAAAAUGUUGAAGGAAAUGAAGAUCCAAUUGAAUAAAGUGCAAGAUUUCCUUGAUGCACAUAUCAAUCUACUGGAGGACCUCAGGAAAUCUCAACCAUUGCAGAACCAGGACAAAGUCUGUGUACAAAAAGUGUUACAUUUUGUACAUGAAUCACAAACACAUGGAAAAGGUAAAGUCUGUCAAAAUUCUACUAUGUUGCCGUUCACAAGAUAGAUUCUCAG
ensembl:lncRNA